CCCUACGGGGUGCAGCAGGCGGGCUGUUCGGAGGCCCAGGCGAUCGCUGCAAUCCGGCGGCUGAAAGAACAGGGGUAUAUCCGCCGAUACCGGGCGCAGUUGGAUUAUAAGCGGCUGGGGCGUGUGGCGACGCUGGUUACGGCCAGUGUGCCGACAGAGAAGCUGGACGCAGUGGCUGCUGCGGUUAACGCGCUGGAUGGGGUGUCACAUAAUUAUCUGCGGAAUCACAAGUUCAAUCUUUGGUUUACUUGUCAGGAUGAAUCGUUUGAACGAAUCGAAGCCAUUUUGGGCAAACUGACGCAGCAAACCGGGGUGGAAUUUCGGGCCUUGCCGGCCGAGACGGUGUAUAAACUGGAUGUGCGUUUCGACCCGUCCGGACCUUCAGCGAGGGAUUUUCUGGCGGGAGAGC
rnacentral:rRNA from 1 species